rfam:Aeromonas hydrophila subsp. hydrophila ATCC 7966, complete genome.
CUUGGCGUCCUGCUUGCGCUCCUUGAUGGCGUUGCCGACGGCAUGCAGCAGGUGGGUCUUGCCCAGACCGGUGCCGCCAUA